CUGUUCUGUAUGAUUUUAUACGAAGUCGCCAAUUUCAACUUUCAUUUGAAUGUUUUCUCAUUGGAGAUGUAUGAAAUUUGAAUCAUUAGAUCCAUGAGGUUGAAUUGAUAUUCCAUCCCUUUGACACUUUGAAUGCACAGUUUGAACUAAAUUGCUCAACGGCCUAGGUCCAGUCUUCAUAUUAGCCACUUAAGACGCACCCCUGAUAAAGUCUAGUUAAUAGACGAAACGCGUUGGAUUAUCGUUAUAUUCUUGAUGUUAUCUCCGAAUAUCUAAUGAGGAGGAAUAAGGACACAGCAGAAAGGUGCCUAUAUUCUUCUACAUCCCAAUAUUGGAGCAAUAGAAGAGAUAAUACAUCUUAAUGCUUAUGUAAUAAUAA